AGUGAACGCUGGCGGCAGGCCUAACACAUGCAAGUCGAACGGCAACACGGUAAGAGCUUGCUCUUACGGGUGGCGGGUGGCGUAAGGGAGCGGAAUACAUCGGAAUCUACUUUUUCGUGGAGGAUAACGUAGGGAAACUUACGCUAAUACCGCAUACGACCUACGGGUGAAAGAAGGGGAACUUCGGACCUUGCGCGUUUGAAUGAGCCGAUGUCGGAUUAGCUAGUUGGCGGGGUAAAGGCCCACCAAGGCGACGAUCCGUAGCUGGUCUGAGAGGAUGAAUCGGCCACACUGGAACUGGGAAAGGGUCCGAACCCCUACGGGAGGCAGCGGUGGGAAAUAUGGGACAAGGGGCGCAAGCCGGAUCCAGCCAGACCGGGGGGGUGAAGAAGGCCUUGGGGUGGUAAAGGCCUUUUGUUGGGAAAGAAAAGCAGCAGGUUAAAACCCCGCUGUUCGGACGGAACCCAAAGAAUAAGCACCGCCUAACUCCGG
rnacentral:rRNA from 1 species